rnacentral:lncRNA from 1 species
UUUUCUGGAAAAAGGUAUGUUACUGCUGAUAUACUUUUCCUUUUCUUCCUGUUUGUGAUGCAGGUAUGAAGUCAUGGUGCUUAGAGAUACUUCACCUAUCCUGUGAAUAAGAAACGACAAAACAUACAUAUAAAAACAUGGCAGUCUGACAGAUGGAAAAAGCCCUCAGGUGGCAAGAAAAUGGCUCCAAGGUCACAAUUUGGGAGAAUAUGAUGGGAGAAUGAAGCAUGCCAGAAGUCAUAUAUUUAGCCCAAGUCUGAAAUUCCUGCUCCAGGAAACCAGAAGACUACAAGUAGCGCUCCUGAAUUUCUGCCUCUCCUCUCAUUCAUUGCCUGACCUCUCACUUCAGAGCUUAACAUACACCUCAACUAGCAGACUUUUAACACUGGGCAGGAAACUGUAACUUUGUUCUGAGAGAAGGUAUAGAACUAUCGGGUGACUCCAUGUUAAGAAGUGUGAUGGUCAGAGAAGAAUUAUUACUUCCUUUACUUUGUGGGCCUGGUGAGAACUCAGGAGGUGAACCUAAAAAAUGAGUGCCAGAUGGCUAUAGAAAAGAUGUACCUGGGGUCCACAGCUGUCUAGAAACUCUAGAAGGAAUGCCUUUGAUCAUCUACAAGUUGGACUCUGUAUAGCACAGGUUUCUACCCUCAUGGGGGCAGAAAAACUUGGUCUUCCAUAGUGGUCACCAGACUAAUCUCUGUAUUGAAAAUAAGCUGACUCAGUUGAGGCAGAAUGGGACCCAGAAAAGUGCUUGUGUUCACUCAGUUAUGUCUGGGUAUAGUCUUCAUCCAUUAGAGAAUUGAAGAACCCUGGAGGGCAGGAAAAACCUACUGAGACUGAGGGCCAGGUCUCCAUCUGUGUAAGCCAAGGGAAACCUGGCAGGGCCCCAAAUAUGAAGGAUUAACCCCAGCCCUGAAGGACAGGGCUCUUGGGGCUGAAAAUGGUAUAAAUUUUAGCCAAAAGGCAAAUUGGUUGGGUGAAAUAGUUUGAUAUGAAAAUUUGAUUGAACAAAUAUAUGUGGAUAUAUAUAUAUAUAUAUCCACAGAUAUAUAUAUCUUUAUUAUAUAUAUAUAAAUUUUUUAAAAAGAUAAGCUACUGUCAAUAUAUUGUGGGGUAUUAGUAAUGUAGGGAGAGGCAGAGUAAUUAAGAGCACAGACUCUGGUAUCAGACUAAGUAAUGACAUCUCAGCUCCACUGUGGCUGAGCUUCAUCUCAAUAUGGCCUUGAGUCUAUGGGUUUGAAUUCCAGCUCUGUAACAUUACUAGACUUGUAACUUGGGUCAGUUAUUGACUUUCACAUCUGUAUGUGUAGAAUACAACAUGGAAAGCACUUAUAUUGUGCCUAUACAUAGUAAGCACUCAUAAUUCAUAAUAUACCUAUUUUGGUACAUUUUGAGCCAGAAAUUACUCUUAAGUGUAUUACAUAUAUUAUCAAUAAAUAUAUACUAUUGCC